AGUGUGUCCAAUUGUGGUUUGACUUGCAGGAAGCAAAGAAGGUAAUGGCAGCUGCUGGAAAGAUCAAUGUGACGCCACCAGAGGAGAAACCUAUAGAGGAUGAACUUUUGGUGUAUGCCAACAAGCAGGAAGCAAGAAAUGCAUUUAAAGCACUUUUGGAGUCCGUAAAUAUGGAGUCUAACUGGACUUGGGAGCAGGCAAUGCGAGUGAUAAUCAAUGACAAAAGAUAUGGUGCUUUGAAAACUCUUGGUGAGCGGAAAUAGGCAUUCAAUGAG